rnacentral:rRNA from 1 species
AGAGUUUGAUCCUGGCUCAGGACGAACGCUGGCGGCGUGCCUAAUACAUGCAAGUCGAACGAGAAUUUCUUACACCGAGUGCUUGCACUCACCGUGAGAAAUUCGAGUGGCGGACGGGUGAGUAACACGUGGGUAACCUGCCCAAAAGAAGGGGAUAACAUUUGGAAACAAAUGCUAAUACCGUAUAACCAUGAUGACCGCAUGGUCAUUAUGUAAAAGGUGGUUCUGCUAUCGCUUUUGGAUGGACCCGCGGCGUAUUAACUAGUUGGUAGGGUAACGGCCUACCAAGGUGAUGAUACGUAGCCGAGUUGAGAGACUGAUCGGCCACAAUGGGACUGAGACACGGCCCAUACUCCUACGGGAGGCAGCAGUAGGGAAUCUUCCACAAUGGGCGCAAGCCUGAUGGAGCAACGCCGCGUGAAUGAAGAAGGUCUUCGGAUCGUAAAAUUCUGUUGUUAGAGAAGAAUAUGAGUAAUAGUAACUGAUUAUUCACUGACGGUAUCUAACCAGCAAGUCACGGCUAACUACGUGCCAGCAGCCGCGGUAAUACGUAGGUGGCAAGCGUUGUCCGG